UGCAGGAUGAAGGCUCUGUCGUAAGUAACUUCUUUUAUUUUGGGGCGAAAAUCACCUUUUCUAGUGGUGCUUGACAGUACCAGAUGAAUAAGCACCGGCUAACUCCGUGCCAGCAGCCGCGGUAAUACGGAGGGUGCAAGCGUUAUCCGGAUUCACUGGGUUUAAAGGGUGCGUAGGCGGGCAAUUAAGUCAGUGGUGAAAUCUUCGAGCUUAACUCGGAAACUGCCGUUGAUACUAUUUGUCUUGAAUACCGUGGAGGUGAGCGGAAUAUGUCAUGUAGCGGUGAAAUGCUUAGAUAUGACAUAGAACACCAAUUGCGAAGGCAGCUCGCUACACGGUCAUUGACGCUGAGGCACGAAAGCGUGGGGAUCAAACAGGAUUAGAUACCCAGGUAGUCCACGCCCUAAACGAUGAUUACUCGACAUCAGCGAUACACUGUUGGUGUCUCAGCUAACGCCUUAAGUAAUCCACCUGGGAAGUACGAUCGCAAC
rnacentral:rRNA from 1 species